rnacentral:rRNA from 1 species
AGCAGCCGCGGUAAUUCCAGCUCCAAUAGCGUAUAUUAAAGUUGUUGCAGUUAAAAAGCUCGUAGUUGAAUUUCGGGGUCAGUAGAUUGGUCGUGCCACUGGUAUGUACUGGUUUACUGGCUCCUCCUUCCUGAUGAACCGUAAUGCCAUUAAUUUGGUGUUGCGGGGAGACUGGACUGUUACUUUGAAAAAAUUAGAGUGUUUAAAGCAGGCUAACGCUUGAAUACAUUAGCAUGGAAUAAUGAAAUAGGACGUUCGAUCUUAUUUUGUUGGUUUCUAGGAUUGACGUAAUGAUUAAUAGGGAUAGUUGGGGGCAUUAGUAUUCAAUUGUCAGAGGUGAAAUUCUUGGAUUUAUUGAAGACUAACUACUGCGAAAGCAUUUGCCAAGGAUGUUUUCAUUAAUCAAGAACGAAAGUUAGGGGAUCGAAGACGAUCAGAUACCGUCGUAGUCUUAACCAUAAACUAUGCCGACUAGGGAUCGGAUGAUGUUAAUUUUUAAUGACUCAUUCGGCGCCUUACG